rnacentral:rRNA from 1 species
GCGGACGGGUGAGUAAUGCCUAGGGAUCUGCCCAGAUCGAGGGGGAUAACAGUUGGAAACGACUGCUAAUACCGCAUACGCCCUACGGGGGAAAGGAGGGGACCUUCGGGCCUUCCGCGAUUGGAUGAACCUAGGUGGGAUUAGCUAGUUGGUGAGGUAAUGGCUCACCAAGGCGACGAUCCCUAGCUGUUCUGAGAGGAUGAUCAGCCACACUGGGACUGAGACACGGCCCAGACUCCUACGGGAGGCAGCAGUGGGGAAUAUUGCACAAUGGGGGAAACCCUGAUGCAGCCAUGCCGCGUGUGUGAAGAAGGCCUUCGGGUUGUAAAGCACUUUCAGUAGGGAGGAAAGGU